AAUAUGUUGCAUAACACAACGUGGAUAUAAUGUUUUACAUAAUUCGAUUCAUGUGGCUGUUUAUAUGCUUUCGGUUUACACAAUUGUGUUCAUAUUCACUUGUAAGUCUAAGAUGUGUGUCUUGCAUUGCUCAAUAGAACAUGUAGAUUUAAAAUGAGAAAUAUGAGGAAAGUGUUGUAGAUUGUAAAGUCAUUGAGGUGCAAAUUUUGGG
rnacentral:lncRNA from 1 species